rnacentral:rRNA from 1 species
UACGAAGGGGGCUAGCGUUGCUCGGAAUUACUGGGCGUAAAGCGCACGUAGGCGGCUCUUUAAGUCGGGGGUGAAAUCCUGGAGCUCAACUCCAGAACUGCCUUCGAUACUGUAGAGCUUGAGUUCGGGAGAGGUGAGUGGAACUGCGAGUGUAGAGGUGAAAUUCGUAGAUAUUAGGAAGAACACCAGUGGCGAAGGCGGCUCACUGGUCCAGUAGCCGACACUGAUGCGGCGACAGCGUGGGGAGGCAAACAGG